GAUGAAGAACGUAGCGAAAUGCGAUAAGUAAUGUGAAUUGCAGAAUUCAGUGAAUCAUCGAAUCUUUGAACGCACAUUGCGCCCCCUGGUAUUCCGGGGGGCAUGCCUGUUCGAGCGUCAUUCCACCACUCAAGCCUCGCUUGGUAUUGGGCAACGCGGUCCGCCGCGUGCCUCAAAUCGACCGGCUGGGUCUUCUGUCCCCUAAGCGUUGUGGAAACUAUUCGCUAAAGGGUGUUCGGGAGGCUACGCCGUAAAACAACCCCAUUUCUAAGGUUGACCUCGGAUCAGGUAGGGAUACCCGCUGAACUUAAGCAUAUCAAUAAGCGGAGGA
rnacentral:misc_RNA from 1 species